CAGGCUGUGAAAACACUUCAGGCCAGUCCCUGAGUAGGAAUGGACAACAAGGUGGUCACCAUGCUGACAGCUAUUCCCUGUGUGAUUUACUUUAUUAUGAAGUCUAAAUUUGAUGCUGAAGUGCUAGCCUAAGCUCACUAACCUGCCAACUUAGAGAAGAAGGUAACCAUGGCUAGGAUGACUGGGAAUCUGAUGGACUCAAUUAAGAAUUUCUACAGAUGGGAAAACCAAAACUCCUUAGUGGCAAGAGGCCAAAGAUGGUCAGCGAAUUGUUGUUUCCGGCUGUUGGAAGUUGACUGCAGUUGAAUAACAGAACAAAAACGGAGCUUCAAAAUCAUGGCGUGCCUGCUUCUUCUGGGUUCUUUUAACUGCAAGCAAUCAGCUUUGAAGAGCACGUAGGGAACUUCUGAUGUGAUACAAACUUUUGUCUUUUUUUUUUUUUUUGUCUUUUAAGAGCAUUCAAAAACA
rnacentral:lncRNA from 10 species